CAGGGCCGGCUGCAGGGGCACAGCCGCCCAGCUCUGAGGUGCUAAGCUGGGAAGAAGGCUCCAGAGCCCAGCCAGCCAGGUGUGGGCACCGGCCACGGGGUGCUCCCCUUCCUGGGUGCAGGGUCAGAUGGAGGAGCGGCAGAACCGGGACCAUCCUGGUGAAAGCUUGUGGUGAAGAUGAGGCUUGGCACUCUCUUUAACCAUGCUGGUGAGUUGCCAGCCAGCUCCCCACCUUGCCAUGGUGCUAUUCAGGUCAUAGUGUCGGUUCUGCAAAGAAGCCAGGCAGAUGUGGGCUGUGACAUCAUGCUUCCCUUUGUUAACUCGUCCCAACCCACGCUUCGUUGCCUGCCCGGAACUCUACCUUCUUUCGGUCUUCAAGCAUGAGGUUGCAGCUGUAAUGUGUGGAAAUGUCAAGUGGCCAAGAUAAAAAAAAAAAAAAAAAAAAAACUUAAACCAAAUGAGAAGUCUCUGGAUCACUUGGGAGUGCUAUCAUUACCCUUAUACCCAUUUUAAAGAUAAGGAAACUGACUCAAGACAAUGGUUCUGGAAUCUGCCCUAAGUUACGAACCUCUGUGACUUUGCCCUGGCAUUACCUGUGCACGGUGCUGCCGGAGGAUGGCCUAUGACACCAUGUGUACCGACAGGGGACAGCAGGAGCCAUUCUGACCGGACUACAGAUUUCCCCUAUCCCCACUUCUGACCCACCAGGUCUGAGUCUUGUUGCUAAGAAAACUGGGGCAGCAAUUUAUUGAGGACUCUAAUGAACCGGUGCUGUGUGUGAACAAUCAUUUUAUUCUUUGUUUUAAAUCACUGUCUAUACUUUUUCAUUUUAAUUUAUGCAAGAAAGGGGCUGAUGGUGUGGCUCGAGGGCAAAGCACUUGCCUGAUUUGCACCAAGUCCUGUUUUCAAUCGUCAGCACCUUGUAUACCCUUACCCCAAUGUAUUGUUUGGAUCUAUACAAAAAAGAAUAAUAUAAAAGAAUAUAAAAUU